UACGUGGGCGUUACAGGCUGCCUUAAGUGAUAGCUGUUAUUUUGUUAAAAACACCCACAUGCAUUGCCACUGCUGAGCCCCCAUCGACAAGUGAAAGUAAAGCAUACUCACCAGAUAAUUUGCAUUGAAUGCAAUGCAAAACUUUGUUUCCCACCCACAUUUCCGCUGCUGAGUCUCCUUUGGCUGUUAAAUCCACUCGAAUCCAGAUUGCAUAUAAAGACUGAGUAGACUUGUAAUGACUGACAAGUGAAAGUGAAGUUGCGGUCACAACAAUGACAACAACGAAUCCUCCACGUUACCUUCCAUUUCAGGACAGCAUGUAUGAUGGGAAUGGGGAUCAACAAUCAAUGGUUCAGCACACCACUGUGAUCAUCAGCACUGAGCCACCAAAAGACCAUAUUAUCUGGUCCCUCCUCUGCUUUUUCUACUCAAACCCUUGUUGUCUUGGACUUGCAGCUCUUAUUUAUUCUAUCAAGGCCAGAGACCGGAAGGUGGCUGGAGAUUUGGAGGGUGCCCGGCAUUAUGGGGCCACUGCUCGCCAGCUUAACAUCACCUCCACAGUCCUGGUUGCCCUUGGACUCCUGAUAUUCAUUAUUACGAUCGCAGUUGUUUUUGCACGGAUAUCUCGUUAAGCCCUCAAAGUAACAAACCCUGA